CCUACGGGCGGCAGCAGUGGGGAAUAUUGGACAAUGGGGGGAACCCUGAUCCAGCCAUGCCGCGUGUGUGAAGAAGGCCCUCGGGUUGUAAAGCACUUUCAGUGAGGAAGAACGCCUGGUGGUUAAUACCCAUCAGGAAAGACAUCACUCACAGAAGAAGCACCGGCUAACUCCGUGCCAGCAGCCGCGGUAAUACGGAGGGUGCGAGCGUUAAUCGGAAUUACUGGGCGUAAAGCGCGCGUAGGUGGCUUGAUAAGCCGGUUGUGAAAGCCCCGGGCUCAACCUGGGAACGGCAUCCGGAACUGUCAAGCUAGAGUGCAGGAGAGGAAGGUAGAAUUCCCGGUGUAGCGGUGAAAUGCGUUGAGAUCGGGAGGAAUACCAGUGGCGAAGGCGGCCUUCUGGACUGACACUGACACUGAGGUGCGAAAGCGUGGGUAGCAAACAGGAUUAGAUACCCUGGUAGUC
rnacentral:rRNA from 1 species